AUGGAGAGGUUUCGACAAUCCCGAUCCAGCUUGAUGACUCCACCAGGUUCAGCCACCCCAGUGUCAUCCGCAGGGUCGUUGCACGAACAUGGAUUUAGGACACCCAGCUCUGUUAACACACCCCUGAGGUCAGACCACAUAACCCCAAACAUUUUCCAGUUCCAGCUUCUGCCUGGGAGAAUGCUUCACUCGCCCCAGCCAUGGAAUGUGCAGUAGUUAAAUAUCUAAGACAUGUAAUAACGGUGACUGGCAGUAGUACCCACAGCUAUGGAUGACAUGACCAUUAGCAAAACAAUCACAUUUAUGGUACCUCUUGUUUUCUUUUCUUGGGAAAUUGCAUAAUUAGAUAGUGGUUGCUUAGUCAAGUUUGGUUUCUGGAGGUGAUUCUGAAACUGAGCUAGGUGUUUAGGCUCAGUAACUCUGAGAGACCUGAAUGAUAUCUGGAACAUUUUUGACCUGUGGGCUUUUUGUUACUAGUCUUUUUUCAGUUUUUAUCAGUCUUUUCAGCUACUAGUUUGGUAAUAUCCUUGAGUUUGUUAUAUUGAACAGUUUCUGUUGACUCAGGAGUUCUGCAUGAGUCUGGUUUCACCUUUCUUUUAAUCACCCCACAUUAACUAUUUGAAUUCCACAAAAAUGCAGUUAUUUUCAUUACAGUUCACUUUAUUUGAGAUAUUUAUGUAUUCAGUUUAUUUCUUACACAAAAAGCAAAUACCUGCCUUUCCAUUUUAAGACAGACAAGAACUACUAUAAAAAUUUGUGGACAACUCCUUUCAAUUAACUAGUCCUGGGUAGGAUGUCUUCUAAUUUAAUUCAUUAUAAAGUCAAUUACAAAGUUGUUUUCUCCAGUUUGUUACAAAAUAUAUCUAAACAUACAAAAGGUAAAGUAUCAGAGUGUACAUUUAACCUCCAGUUAUUGCAGUUUGACUUAUUGGGACUGUGGUAAUUCUCAAUGUGUAUGUUGUAGAUUACUGAAACAGCAAUGGUUGCAAGGUUAUGGCUACUCUUAAAGCAAAAGCUUUGAGAAAGGUAAACAAAGACCCAUUAACUCCACACAGAAAAUUCUGAAGCUUUGUCUGUGCUGAAAAAUGCUGCUUUGCCAGUGCAUAUUGUGAAUUAAGGAAGCACUAACUCCAGUGUAUUGCAUUACAGCCUGUAUGUUAUAGCAUUUAAAUACUGCACUAAAACAAAAUGCCCACUUUGAGUUCUAUUGACUUUAAUGAUAUAUAUUAUUGAUUUGGGCAUGUCAAGUUUAUUUACCUACAAACAAUAAGUUGAAUAUGAAACAAAAAGCCCCCCCCCCCCAACUCUGAGAACAAGAUUCUAUGUAUUCUAAGGCACAUUAUAGGACAAUACGGCUUUAAAAGUAAAAAUAUUAAAUAACUGUGCAUUUGAGUGUAUAGUUAAUUGUAUAUGAAAUCAUUAUUCAAAAUCAUUAUUUAAAUAGGCUGUUAAUGUGCAGUUAACCAGCAUGCAUCACCAUAGCUCAUGAAUUUUACAAAACUCCAUCAGUCUAAAGGUUUUAUGCAGCCUGGAUAAGCCAGAACAUGAUAAAUGUUUACAAGCUACACAGGUGCACAGCCUGCAUAUGAUUAAGCUCAAACAUGAAACUUCCCACACCUAAGUUUUGUUUUUAUUACUAAUAAGAGGCUGAGUUUGUCCUGUAAGAUUGUGUUUGAAAACACUAACCUCCCAAAUUCCAAAUUUCUCAUUUGGGCCUCAAUAUUUUUUUGUCUGCUUUGGUAGAGGAUUUUGGGGUUUCUUCCAUUUUUCCCAUAUUUAGGGUUAGUUUCCAGUGUUCAGUGUUUGCAUUACAUCUGCCACACAUUUAUAUACAACAAAUACAAUGAAGUGUGUCAUGAAAAUAACCAUUUCAAAACUAUUAUUACACACUGGUGUUUCUGAAAGGGAAUACUUUUAAACAGUUGUGAAAACUCCAGGUCCAAUAUUCAAGUGCAAUAAAUCAAGAAAGAACUUGAUUUGCUUAGUCUGAUUUAGUUUGUGAACGAAUAGGUAAUCACAGUGCUCAUUAGGCCUUCUGUUCAUGUCGCACAAUAUGGCCUUCAUUAUUACCUACCAGUCAACUACAUAGCACUACUGUACUGUAAGGUUAUGCACGCAUUUCUAAUAAGUUACUGCUGAAGCUAAAUGACCAAAAAAAAAAAAGAAAGAACAAUUAGCCAGUGUAUUGAACACCCUGGCACAAAAGAUAUUUAGAAACAAAUGGAGAGAAAACAAAAUAUAGAAAUGGAAAAAAAAGCAAGAAAGGACAGGGAACUGCAUUUAGCCAAUCUAAAAUAAAAGAUUUUUCAUCUACUCAGUCUUAUUCCAUAAUCCCUGUACAGUACAGUGGGGAAAGUACAAUAGAAACAACUGAAAAGCAAACACCCAAACACUUUCCAUUUCAGUCUUCAGAACUAUUAGGCAGCUCUGCUGACUCACUGUCCUUGGAUGCAAACCAGUCCCGAACUUGCUGGUAACUCAUCUUUGACUUUCGGCAGAGAACAUCAAGGUCUUUCUCCUGCAAUACGCCUGUCUGCUGAUAAUACAGCUCCAGAGGAUGAAUAUCUAAGGAGUCCGACACUGACUU
ensembl:lncRNA